rnacentral:rRNA from 1 species
AUUGAACGCUAGCGGCAGGCCUAACACAUGCAAGUCGAACGAGAGGCGGACGGGUUAGUAAUGUAUCGGAACGUUACUGGUGGCGGGGGAUAACUACUGGACACGGAAGCUAAUACCGCAUACCAUCGGAUGGGUCCAGAUGGGAAUAGCGAGUGGGUGGGGUAAAGGCUCACCAAGGCGACGAUCCGUAGCUGGUUUGAGAGGAUGACCAGCCACACUGGAACGGAGACACGGUCCAGACGCCUACGGGAGGCAGCAGUGGGGAAGAUUGGACAAUGGGCGAAAGCCUGAUGCAGCCAGGCCGCGUGUAGGAAGAAGGCCUUCGGGUUGUAAAGUACUUUCAGCGGGGAGGCGUUACCCGCAGAAGAAGCACCGGCUAACUCCGUGCCAGCAGCCGCGGUAAUUC